rnacentral:rRNA from 1 species
AGAGUUGAUCAUGGCUCAGGAUGAACGCUAGCGGCAGGCUAACACAUGCAAGUCGAGGGGCGAGCGGGAUGUAGCAAUACAUGCCGGCGACCGGCGGAUGGGUGCGUAACGCGUAUGCAACCUACCUUAUACAGGGGAAUAACCUUUCGAAAGGGAGACUAACACCCCAUAGUAUUGAUUUAAGGCAUCUUAGAUUAAUUAAAUAUUUAUAGGUAUAAGAUGGGCAUGCGUAUGAUUAGCUAGUUGGUAAGGUAACGGCUUACCAAGGCGACGAUCAUUAGGGGUUCUGAGAGGAAGGUCCCCCACACUGGUACUGAGACACGGACCAGACUCCUACGGGAGGCAGCAGUGAGGAAUAUUGGUCAAUGGGCGCAAGCCUGAACCAGCCAUGCCGCGUGCAAGGAAGACGGCCUUAUGGGUUGUAAACUGCUUUUACAUAAGACUAACCGUAUAUUUGCGAAUAUACCUGAAUGUAUUAUGAGAAUAAGGAUCGGCUAACUCCGUGCCAGCCGCCGC